AGUCUUUGUAGUACACUUAAUACANUGGUCUUGUAAACCAGANAAGGAGAANAACCAACCUCCCUAAGAC
rnacentral:tRNA from 1 species